AUUGAACGCUGGCGGCUGGCCUAACACAUGCAAGUCGAACGAGUGGCGGACGGGUGAUUAAUGUCUGGGAAACUGCCUGAUGGAGGGGGAUAACUACUGGAAACGGUAGCUAAUACCGCAUACCAUCGGAUGUGCCCAGCUGGGAUUAGCAAGUAGGUGGGGUAACGGCUCACCUAGGCGCCGAUCCCUAGCUGGUCUGAGAGGAUGACGGGCGACACGGGAACUGAGACACGGUCCAGACUCCUACGGGAGGCAGCAGGGGGGAAUAUUGCACAAUGGGCGCAAGCCUGAUGCAGCCAUGCCGCGUGUAUGAAGAAGGCCUUCGGGUUGUAAAGUACGUUCAGCGGGGAGGCGUUACCCGCAGAAGAAGCACCGGCUAACUCCGUGCCAGCCGCCGCGGUAAUAC
rnacentral:rRNA from 1 species